rnacentral:misc_RNA from 1 species
AACAAAAUAAAAAUACUAACAACACUUGAUCCAAGAAUACUAAAUUAUUAACAACACUCGCAAAAAAAUUAUAUAUAAUACAGUAUUAAUUAUUACUUGUUAUGAAUACAAUAUUCAAGUCAGAAUUUUUAAAUGGUUUUAUACAAAACGUUUAUGUAGAGCAGCAACAAUGCCUUGUGAUCCCAAGACAUGACGAGAAAGUUUACAAGUUGCG